rnacentral:tmRNA from 3 species
GGGGAUGUUUCAUAAUCGAUGGUUCAUUUCCAAAAAAAUCCGCAUUUCGAGCUGAAAAUCUCGUUAAAAUUUUCAAAUUUCUAAGUGCAAACUUAGUCAGCCGCGUGAAGGAAAAAGUGUCUGCUUUGGCAGCCGCUUUUGCUCCAACACGUAUGGCUUCCGUUACAGCUUAAAUUCUGUAACCAUCGCGCUUGUUCAGGCCUCAUAGACAAACCGCGGUGCCAUUUUUUGAGGCUUACGUCUGAUCGUGUUUGGGUGAAGACGGACAACUUAACAAACUCGAGAUUACGGCGCUUUUGCUUGUUCUUAAGCCAUAAUCUUUAAAAAAAUAAACAAGCUAUAAAUGUAGAAGGUUAGUUUGGACGGAGCUAGACGCGGGCGUGAUCCCCGCCAUCUCCACAA